rnacentral:rRNA from 1 species
CUUUUACAAUGAAGAGUUUGAUCCUGGCUCAGGAUGAACGCUAGCUACAGGCUUAACACAUGCAAGUCGAGGGGCAGCAUUUCAGUUUGCUUGCAAACUGGAGAUGGCGACCGGCGCACGGGUGAGUAACACGUAUCCAACCUGCCGAUAACUCGGGGAUAGCCUUUCGAAAGAAAGAUUAAUACCCGAUGGUAUAAUCAGACCGCAUGGUCUUAUUAUUAAAGAAUUUCGGUUAUCGAUGGGGAUGCGUUCCAUUAGGCAGUUGGUGAGGUAACGGCUCACCAAACCUUCG